rnacentral:lncRNA from 1 species
GGGCUGCAAUCUUUGAGAGGGUGGUGACCAGAGGGGGCAAUCCAAGCAGGCUAAUUUUCCAAGUUUUGGUUGACAGCCUUUCCGAGCCAAGACAUGAGGAUAUUACCUCGGCUUAGUGUUAGAUAUGUAAUCAUAUGUUGCACAGAGAUGUAAUCAAGGAGUUCAACAGCAGUGCCCUACAGAGAAAUUAGGAUAUUGUGGCCCUCUGAGUUUGCUAUUUCUGGGAUGUGCAGACAGUAUGGGAAUACAUUGGAUAAAUGAAAGAAUGUGAGCUGUAUUGACACCAAUCACACGGUCACACUGGUAAGCACUAAGCAGUCUAUGACAUGUGUUUUGAUAAUAAAGCAUCAGUAUCCUUUAUUUAUUUAUUUUUACUUGAUAACAUAACUGCAUAUUUCUUUCACUGUUAACCAUGAAUAUCCCGAUACAAUACAUAAUGGUCAUGUCAGAAUUUUGAGGAAAACACAUUCUAUUAGUAAAAACAAAAGAAACCAUUUUCUCGUACAGCCCUUGUUAAUUAGUUGCAAGAAAAAAGAGUAAGAUUCUAAUUUUACAGAUAUAGAUUAACUUAACAUGGAAACAGUUAGCAUCUGUAUGAUUUGAAUGACUGUCACUGCUUGAUUCCUCUUAACCAUAGUAGUGUUAUCUUUUGUGCUUCCUGUCUUAUUUAUACAAAUUAACAAGAAAUUUGAAUCAUUAAGUUCAAAUAUUUGCGCUAAAUAGCCAGUGAGAAAUUGCUCAUGUGAAGUUCUGUGCCUCUUUUUUAUUACACUGCAAUGUACCAUGCGAGUAUGAAUCAUUUCAUUUUCCGAAGUUGCAUAACAAUCGGCGUGACCAAACUAAACUGCCACUGCAAAUUUUCUGAAAAUUGAAGGUAUAGCACAACACCAAUUUCUCAUUUUUACAUGGUUUGGAGAAAAAACAAUGAUAUUUACAUUGACACCUACAUGCUCCUUAAGACUGUCCAAAUUCUCCGCAGGACUGCCAUGCACAAACUG